rnacentral:rRNA from 1 species
CGUGUAGGCGGUCCGGUAAGUCCGCUGUGAAAGUCGGGGGGCUCAACCCUCGGAUGCCGGUGGAUACUGUCGGGCUUGAGUACGGAAGAGGCGAGUGGAAUUCCUGGUGUAGCGGUGAAAUGCGCAGAUAUCAGGAGGAACACCAAUUGCGAAGGCAGCUCGCUGGGACGUUACUGACGCUGAGACGCGAAAGCGUGGGGAGCAAACA